AGUGAACGCUGGCGGUAGGCCUAACACAUGCAAGUCGAACGGCAGCACAGUAAGAGCUUGCUCUUACGGGUGGCGAGUGGCGGACGGGUGAGGAAUACAGCGGAAUCUACUUUUUCGUGGGGGAUAACGUAGGGAAACUUACGCUAAUACCGCAUACGACCUACGGGUGAAAGCAGGGGAUCUUCGGACCUUGCGCGAUUGAAUGAGCCGAUGUCGGAUUAGCUAGUUGGCGGGGUAAAGGCCCACCAAGGCGACGAUCCGUAGCUGGUCUGAGAGGAUGAUAGGCCAAACGGGAACUGAGACACGGGCCAGACCCCUACGGGAGGCAGAAGUGGGGAAUUUUGGACAAUGGGCGCAAGCCUGAUCCAGCCAAACCGGGGGGGUGAAGAAGGCCUUCGGGUUGUAAGCCCUUUUGUUGGGAAAGAAAAGCAGCAGGUUAAUACCCCGCUGUUCUGACGGUACCCAAAGAAUAAGCACCGGCUAACUUCGUG
rnacentral:rRNA from 1 species